rnacentral:rRNA from 1 species
UGCAAGUCGAACGGAAACGAUGGAAGCUUGCUUCCAGGCGUCGAGUGGCGGACGGGUGAGUAAUGCUUAGGAAUCUGCCCAGUAGUGGGGGACAACCAGGAGAAAUUCUGGCUAAUACCGCAUACGCACUACGGUGGAAAGUGGGGGACCUUCGGGCCUCACGCUAUUGGAUGAGCCUAAGUCGGAUUAGCUUGUUGGUGGGGUAAUGGCUCACCAAGGCGACGAUCCGUAGCUGGUCUGAGAGGACGAUCAGCCACACUGGGACUGAGACACGGCCCAGACUCCUACGGGAGGCAGCAGUGGGGAAUAUUGGACAAUGGGCGCAAGCCUGAUCCAGCAAUGCCGCGUGUGUGAAGAAGGCCUGCGGGUUGUAAAGCACUUUCAGUAGAGAAGAAAAGCAUGAGGUUAAUACCCUCGAGUCUUGACGUAACCUACAGAAGAAGCACCGGCUAACUCCGUGCCAGCAGCCGCGGUAAUACGGAGGGUGCGAGCGUUAAUCGGAAUUACUGGGCGUAAAGCGCGCGUAGGCGGUUUUGUAAGUCGGAUGUGAAAUCCCCGGGCUUAACCUGGGAACUGCAUUCGAUACUGCAUAACUAGAGU